rnacentral:sRNA from 1 species
AAAAAAAAACGAAAACAA